GCGGGAAGAGCUCAAAUUUAUAAUCUGGCACCUUCGGUGUCCGAGUUGUAAUCUCUAGAAAUGUUUUCCGCGUUGGACCGCACACAAGUCUGUUGGAAUACAGCGGCAUAGUGGUGAGACCCCCGUAUAUGGUGCGGACGCCCAGCGCUUUGUGAUACAUUUUCGAAGAGUCGAGUUGUUUGGGAAUGCAGCUCAAAUUGGGUGGUAAAUUCCAUCUAAAGCUAAAUAUUGGCGAGAGACCGAUAGCGAACAAGUACCGUGAGGGAAAGAUGAAAAGCACUUUGGAAAGAGAGUUAACAGUACGUGAAAUUGUUGGAAGGGAAACGCUUGAAGUCAGACUUGCUUGCCGAGCAAUCGGUUUGCAGGCCAGCAUCAGUUUUCCGGGAUGGAUAAUGGUAGAGAGAAGGUAGCAGUUUCGGCUGUGUUAUAGCUCUCUGCUGGAUACAUCUUGGGGGACUGAGGAACGCAGUGUGCCUUUUGGCGGGGGUUUCGACCUCUUCACACUUAGGAUGCUGGUGGAAUGGCUUUAAACGACCCGUCUUGAA
rnacentral:rRNA from 1 species